UGUGCUGCAGGCUCCAGCUGGGGCGCCUGCGACUCUCCAAGCCAUUGGAACCGCUGACCCAGACUACGCUGCCAGCGACCUGCUGACCGCAGAAAUUGAUGGGGCUGCUGAGCUGCUGCCAGCUGAGGAGAUGCCCGAGAUGCACUUUGAGACAUAUACUACCACAGUCUCGGCCAGAUGGCCCUCUUCAAGUGAAUGCUCUGGAGACACCAUCUGGCCAAGAGAUGAAUGGAUAAUGGACAAUAUACGUCUGCAUAAUGAGAUCAGAUUAAAGAAAAAUCUACAACUAAGUAGAGAUGCAGAAGAUACUGCAGCGUGCACUGAAGUAAAGACAGGACCAGAGAAAUGCUGGAAGGGAAGCAGGGCCGGCUUUAGGAAGUGCGGGGCCCGAUUCGACGGAGCCCCGGCAGGGAUGACUCACUCGGCAGCGCUUCGGGUCUUCGCUCUGGGUCUUCCG